CAACCCAGGUAGCCAUUGCCUGGGACCAGUAGCCACAGAUCCUCAGAGAUAUUUAGGUGCCUCUUUCCCAGUGAGAGUCAGGCACCUAAAUACAUUUGAUAAUCUGGGUCACAGCCUCUGCUCUUCCAUGAGAAUAUGGAUGGGGUGACGUCUGCUCCAUUCCAUUGUGUCCUUCAAGCUCCUGGGCUCUUGCCAAUGUGGCCUGCUGCGGGGUGCCGUGUUUGGAGGAGGAGGAGGAGAUGGUGCCUGUGGAAUACCUAUAAAGAAUGUUCAUUCUGACAGGACCCUGUGGUGUCCAUAGAUUCAUGUAUGUCAAGGUUCCACAUUGUCAUCAGAACAAAGAGGAGGCUACCUACAGUGAUGGGGGCUGACGUGCAGACAAACUUUAUCUUUACUGAGCCAUGAUGAAUGGAAAGAUGAUGAGGCAUUUGAGGCAUAUUCAAGUCCCAGACUGUCCAUCCCUCUACCACAGCACUGUUCAUAUCUGUCUAUGUGUGGAUUCUGCAGCUCUGGCCCACCAGAUGCAAAGGUGAGAGAGAGCUUUAGCUGCAGAAAGAAUCAGUGCUGCAGGCCAAAGCUCUGCUGCCCUCUGGCUACCAGUCCAGCACCAACAACCAGCUCUCGCCUGGGGAGGAUUCUUCACACUCUUCAAUGCAGCUUCUCUAAUGGAAAGAUCCAAAAACCUCCCAGAGCCUCCUCUCCACUGACAUGUAACCAUUGCUCAGGCUUUACUGGGGGCCGAUACAAGAGUAAGAUACAUCAGCAUCCGCUGUCAGCAGCAAAAGGCAACAGAGAAGCGGGGAUGUGAAGCAAUUGCCGGCUUUCUAGUCACCUGAAUAUCAAAGGACAUAGCUGCUGCAUGAACAAGUGUCCUUAUUUCAGGAGUGGCCAACCUGAGUCUGAGAAGGAGCCAGAAUUUACCAAUGUACAUUGCCAAAGAGCCACAGUAAUACGUCAGCAGCCCUCCAUCAGCUCCCACGC